rnacentral:lncRNA from 1 species
UCCACACCAACUUAUUCCAUUUAACCCAGCCAAUUCAGAUUUUUAUUCUGAAAUUGAAUCCAGCCGAAACUAACUCAGCCAUAUAGAUAACUUUGGAACAAAGUUAUGAAUAGUUGACAACACCAUUCACCGAUCAUUGCUUUCUUCCACCCUCACCAAGCAAGUCCAUUUCCUAAUCAUCAUAGUGUACUGCCACAGUCAUCACAUACUACAGUUGUGCAUCAUCUGCGAUGCUCUACAGUGCUCUAUCACAGCCCAGAAAAAGAAUUGGCAUGCUAUAUUUUAUUCAUUUUAUUCAUCUCCUGUAUGAGUCCUCUCUUCCACCUGCCUCCAACACAUAUCUUUGCAUGGUAACACCAUGUUCCACAUAAGCCAUCCCGAUUUUUCUAUAAAAUAGGACGCACCAUCAUCCCAUCCCAUCUUGAUAUUUGGGACAGAGAAUGUCCUCAGGUAUUCUGAUUGAAACGCUAGUGGGACAGUCCUGUCCCGAUAUAUAGGAUGGUAUCCUGUCCCGAUAUCCCGCAGGACAUCUCACUAAGAUCUGAAUCCUCUUCCACACGCUUCUACUAUAAAUUUUGUAGAUAUCACCUGUAAUCAAUUGUAUCUUUUUCAUCAACAGUCCUCAAAUCUUCCAAAGUUUUCACGACUGUAGUCCCAGUUUACAUCUCUUGGCAAACUGUAAGAUAAGCAGCUUCAGCAACCAAGUAGAUAACAUGAGAAGCCGCACUGCUGAAAUAAGAACCCUCCUACUUGCAUCACUAAGAAGACUUCCUCUCAACUUGCUAAAGCAUUCAUCAUGUUUCUUUGAUACAGAUAUACCAGCAGUUCAUAACGUUCAUUCUAAUAAAUCAAGAGGGCAUCAACAUGUUUUCGAAAAAGACCACCAGGAAAUGAAUGUUGGCAAGCAAAAAUAUCUUGAGCCCUCCCUUCAGAAUCAACUUCUCUUCAGCAACUUCAUCAAUGAAUUAAUUUGGUUUCAGCAGAGGAGCAUGACCAUCAAUUUAUACACCGAUCGCUAUUCA